rnacentral:rRNA from 1 species
AUUGAACGCUGGCGGCAGGCCUAACACAUGCAAGUCGAGCGGAUGAAGGGAGCUUGCUCCUGGAUUCAGCGGCGGACGGGUGAGUAAUGCCUAGGAAUCUGCCUGGUAGUGGGGGAUAACGUCCGGAAACGGGCGCUAAUACCGCAUACGUCCUGAGGGAGAAAGUGGGGGAUCUUCGGACCUCACGCUAUCAGAUGAGCCUAGGUCGGAUUAGCUAGUUGGUGGGGUAAAGGCCUACCAAGGCGACGAUCCGUAACUGGUCUGAGAGGAUGAUCAGUCACACUGGAACUGAGACACGGUCCAGACUCCUACGGGAGGCAGCAGUGGGGAAUAUUGGACAAUGGGCGAAAGCCUGAUCCAGCCAUGCCGCGUGUGUGAAGAAGGUCUUCGGAUUGUAAAGCUCUGUUAUUUGGGAAGAAGGGCAGUGAGUGAAUACAGUGCUGUUUUGGAGUUUACAAUAGAAUAAACGCCGGCUUACUUCGUG